rnacentral:rRNA from 1 species
GACGAACGCUGGCGGCGUGCUUAACACAUGCAAGUCGAACGGAAAAGCCCUGCUUUUGUGGGGUGCUCGAGUGGCGAACGGGUGAGUAACACGUGAGUAACCUGCCCUUGACUUUGGGAUAACUUCAGGAAACUGGGGCUAAUACCGGAUAGGAGCUCCUGCUGCAUGGUGGGGGUUGGAAAGUUUCGGCGGUUGGGGAUGGACUCGCGGCUUAUCAGCUUGUUGGUGGGGUAGUGGCUUACCAAGGCUUUGACGGGUAGCCGGCCUGAGAGGGUGACCGGCCACAUUGGGACUGAGAUACGGCACAGACUCCUACGGGAGGCAGCAGUGGGGAAUAUUGCACAAUGGGCGGAAGCCUGAUGCAGCAACGCCGCGUGCGGGAUGACGGCCUUCGGGUUGUAAACCGCUUUCGCCUGUGACGAAGCGUGAGUGACGGUAAUGGGUAAAGAAGCACCGGCUAACUACGUG